UGAGCUGUCAGCACAGAGCCCGACGUGGGGCUCGAACCCAGGGACCGCGAGAUCACGCCCUGAGCUGAGAAGUCGGUCACUCAACCAACUGAGCCACCCAGGCGCCCCAAUAUUGGAAUUCUUAAUAUGCAAAGAAAACAUCCUUUCUGUCCGUUGAUUACAGCUUUGUUCCAGACUUUAUUUUCCAGUGACAUGGAAGCAAAUGAUUUUACCGUCUCCGGAUAGCAUUUACUUCUGGCUGUUCUUUCCUUACCCCUUACCCAGGCUGGGGUUGUGGUAAGCCAGCCUGAAACUCCAGAUCAGCCUGCACAGAGGCAUGAAAACAUGAGUGUAUUGGGGGAUAUUAACGAUACAGCUGGUCUGCAAAAAUUGCCGAACGGUGACAAUUCCAUGGAGAAGCAAGCACUCCCGCUAGCUUUUCAUCUUUCUGAAAGAGGGACCUUCAAGCAGGAACCACCAAGGUACCCCUGAAAUUUGGACUCUUCUGGGAGAAAAGAAAGCAUUAGGACUCAGGUCAAACCUACUGGAUAAUACACUGUGUAGGGUUUCAAAGUAACCUACAAGAUGUCAAAAUAUGCCGGAGGGAGUCGCUCCGUAGUCGGCAGGAUUCGAACCUGCGCGGGGAAACCCCAAUGGAUUUCUAGUCCAUCGCCUUAACCACUCGGCCACGACUACAUGACAGAGCUGUCCCUUGUUAAAGUAAAUAGCCAUGCCGAAGCUUGGUUCUGUUGGUGAAGAUCACGUUGCAUACCAGAAAGUGCAUUUGUAGCCAAAUCCUUCCUAAGUAAGACUUUCUCCUCAGAACUGAAGGGACUCCUUGUUCUGAUGAGUCGUCGGAACGAGUCAGCCUUUGGGGAGGCUGGCCGGGCUACGUCCCACAACUGGAACGGCCUUCAAAGUUCACUGCGGAAUUGUAUGUGAUAGCUGCGAUGUUUAAAAACCAGAAAAGGUGAAAAGGUGGUGCACGUGCAUAUAUUUUCCCUCUGGAAGGUUCCACCAGACCUGGCUUCAGCUUGCUGCUGUGCGUAGAAAUUGAAGAGCUGAACUCGUGGGUUGCAGAGAGCUUGUAGUUUUCACUACGUGUACUUCAAAAUAACGUGAGUUUUGCCAUCAUUAUUAUUUGUGUACACGUUUUCCUGUAUCUUGUUUAUAUACCUAGAAUUGCUGGGUCAUAUGGUAGGUCGAUGCUUAAUCUUUUGAAGAGCGGCCAGACUUUUCCCACACGAAUGCACCAUUUUCAUCCCCCCCUGUGUGUGAUGGUUCAGAUUUCUCCAUAUCCUCCCCAACACUUGUUAUUACAUGGCCUUUUCAUUAAAGCUAUCCUGAUAGGUGUGAAAUAGUAUGUCACUGGGGUUUUGAUUUGCAUUUCCCAAACGACUAAUGACAGCCAACAUUUUCCCGUGUGCUUAAUGGCCAUCUGUAUAUCUUUCUUAGGGAAAAGUCUAUUUGUGUACUUUGCUCAUUUUCUCACGAACUAUUUGUCUUUCCCUGGAGUUGUAAAGGUCUUUAUACAUUCUAGAUGCAAGUCCCUUAUCCGGUAUAUGAUUUGCAAAUCUUUUCCUCUAGCUGUUUGGUUGCAUUUUUUAUAGCGUCCUUGGAAGCACGAUUGCUUUUGAUGUUAACGAAGUCUACUUUAUCUAUUUUUUGUUGCUCGAGCCCUGGUGUCAUACCUAACAAUCCAUUGCCAAAUCUGAGGCCUUGAAGAUUUCCCCAGUGUUUCCUUUUCAAAGGUUGAUAAUAUUAGAGCUUGUAUUAUGCCUUUAACCCGUUUUGAGUUAAUGUGUGUAAAUUGUGUGAGGUAAGGACACAACUUCAUUCUUUGGCAGGUGGUCAUCUAGGUCUCCGAGCCACCGUUUGUUGAAAAGACCAUUCCCACCCCCACCCCCACCCCCACCAAUGGUCUUGGCACUUUUUAAUAAAAAACCAGAUGACUGUA